rnacentral:rRNA from 1 species
GAUGAACGCUAGCGGCAGGCCUAACACAUGCAAGUCGAACGGUAACAUUCUCGCUUGCGAGAGAUGACGAGUGGCGCACGGGUGCGUAACGCGUAUGCAACCUACCUCUAUCAGGGGGAUAGCCCGGGAGAAAUCCGGAUUAAUACCCCAUAGUAUUACUGAUUGGCAUCUAUUAGUAAUUAAAGCUUCGGCGGAUAGAGAUGGGCAUGCGUCCUAUUAGUUAGUUGGUAAGGUAACGGCUUACCAAGACUACGAUAGGUAGGGGGCCUGAGAGGGUGAUCCCCCACACUGGUACUGAGACACGGACCAGACUCCUACGGGAGGCAGCAGUGAGGAAUAUUGGGCAAUGGACAAGUCUGACCCAGCCAUGCCGCGU